GAUGAACGCUGGCGGCGUGCCUAAUACAUGCGAGUCGAGCGAACAGACGAGGAGCUUGCUCCUCUGACGUUAGCGGCGGACGGGUGAGUAACACGUGGAUAACCUACCUAUAAGACUGGGAUAACUUCGGGAAACCGGAGCUAAUACCGGAUAAUAUAUUGAACCGCAUGGUUCAAUAGUGAAAGACGGUUUUGCUGUCACUUAUAGAUGGAUCCGCGCCGCAUUAGCUAGUUGGUAAGGUAACGGCUUACCAAGGCAACGAUGCGUAGCCGACCUGAGAGGAUGAUCGGCCACACUGGAACUGAGACACGGUCCAGACUCCUACGGGAGGCAGCAGUAGGGAAUCUUCCGCAAUGGGCGAAAGCUUGACGGAGCAACGCCGCGUGAGUGAUGAAGGUCUUCGGAUCGUAAAGCUCUGUUAUUAGGGAAGAACAAAUGUGUAAGUAACUAUGCACGUCUUGACGGUACCUAAUCAGAAAGCCACGGCUAACUACGUG
rnacentral:rRNA from 1 species